rnacentral:rRNA from 1 species
AACGAACGCUGGCGGCAUGCCUAACACAUGCAAGUCGAACGAGAAGUUCGGGUCUUGUGGCGCUCGGGUGCGUGCCGAGUGGGAACCUGCCCUUAGGUUAGGAAUCAUUGACCGAAGGGGGUGCUAAUGCAAGUUAAUGUCAUCGGAGCAAAGAUGUAUGGCCUUUGGAUGGGCCUUCGUAGGAUUAGCUGGUUGGUAGGGUAAAAGCCUAGCAAGGCGUCGUUGCAUAGCUGGUCGGUGAGGAUGACCAGCCACACUGGGACUGAGACACGGCCCAGACUCCGACGGGAGGGAGCAGAGUGGAAUAUUGGACAAGGGGCGAAAGCGUGAUCCAGCAGUGCCGCGUAAGUCAGGAAGGCCUUAGGGUUGUAAAUCUCUUUUACCCGGGAUGAUAAUGACAGUACCGGGAGAAUAAGCUCCGGCUAACUCCGUG